rnacentral:rRNA from 1 species
AGUGAACGCUGGCGGUAGGCCUAACACAUGCAAGUCGAACGGCAGCACAGUAAGAGCUUGCUCUUACGGGUGGCGAGUGGCGGACGGUUGAGGAAUACAUCGGAAUCUACUUUUUCGUGGGGGAUAACGUAGGGAAACUUACGCUAAUACCGCAUACGACCUACGGGUGAAAUCAUGGGAUCUUCGGACCUUGCGCGAUUGAAUGAGCCGAUGUCGGAUUAGCUAGUUGGCGGGGUAAAGGCCCACCAAGGCGACGAUCCGUAGCUGGUCUGAGAGGAUGAUCAGCCACACUGGAACUGAGACACGGUCCAGACUCCUACGGGAGGCAGCAGUGGGGAAUAUUGGACAAUGGGCGCAAGCCUGAUCCAGCCAUACCGCGUGGGUGAAGAAGGCCUUCGGGUUGUAAAGCCCUUUUGUUGGGAAAGAAAAGCAGCAGGUUAAUACCCCGCUGUUCUGACGGUACCCAAAGAAUAAGCACCGGCUAACUUCGUG